GGUAGAAGGAGUUGGAAUUCAUCUGUUUUCCUACCCUCAGCUCCAGAUGGGAAAGCAGACGUCACCUCCCAGAGCCCUGCAAAUACAAGAGAUAGCAACUGAGAGUUUUGCUGAGGAGCAGGCCGGUACUUCCAAGGUUUCUGCUGGAUACAAAGAAUGCCAUUGUAUUAUGUGGACUAUCUAAGAGCAUGUUGCAUUGCAGAGAUGGAAUUCUCCAGGGGCUGCCAAGACUGCUGUCAGGUGUAAUCUAACCCAUCAACAUUUUUAGGAGAAAGCAGAAUGAACAUGAAAACGGGGAUGAAGGAGAGAGAGGAACACGCACCUUUGAAGUUGUAAUUGAGC
rnacentral:lncRNA from 1 species